rnacentral:lncRNA from 1 species
GGUAUGUUGCUAAAGACACUUGUAAACAUUGUUUUUCAUAUGAUCUGUUGUCUCCUGUAGUGGAAAGUGCUGCUGAAAAAUGAAGAGGCCUCAACCUUAGAGAGAUGGAUCAAUACCUUGCAACACUCGACAAGAUACUUUCAAAAUGCAAGAUCUAGGAUAGGAUGAUAUUUUCCUUUUUCUUUUGUUGUAUGAGCUCUAUGUUGUCUGUUUAGGUGGUCUUUGAUGACUGAUCUGAAAUCCAACUCUAAAAAUAUCGUUGUGGAAAGUUUUGAUGUUUGUUUCCUCUAGUGAUAUUUAAGCAUGAGUCUUUUGAACCUCAGUGGUUGUUUUUGUGUAAUAGCUUAUAAAACCGGUAUCCUAGGUGCUCAAACUGGCUUCUUGCUUUAAUAAAAAGCGGGGCAUUAUGCCUUCUUCCAAAAAAAAUGUUGCAAGUGUAACAAGUUAAUCACCUUGCUACCUUGCUCUUAGAGGAUAAUAGUUUUCUCACAUACGGCACCAAUGUUGGGCUUGUAAAUUCAAGACAUCAUGUUACUCCCAUUGACGCAACUUUUCAUGUUCCAAUGCAUCCCAUUCCAAACUAGUAUUCACUGUGCCAAUCAUCUAGAAAAAGGAAGGCUAGACCACACAUCUAAAUGUAAUUUUGGGUAUCAUGGCUGAGAGGGGAGAGGAUUCAGCAACAGUGCUGCAAAGACAUGGACAAUUCUU